UUGACCUCAAAUCAGGUAGGACUACCCGCUGAACUUAAGCAUAUCAAUAAGCGGAGGAAAAGAAACUAACAAGGAUUCCCCUAGUAACUGCGAGUGAAGCGGGAAAAGCUCAAAUUUAAAAUCUGGCGGUCUCCGGCCGUCCGAGUUGUAAUCUAGAGAAGUGUUAUCCGCGCUGGACCGUGUACAAGUCUCCUGGAAUGGAGCGUCAUAGAGGGUGAGAAUCCCGUCUUUGACACGGACUGCCAGGGCUUUGUGAUGCGCUCUCAAAGAGUCGAGUUGUUUGGGAAUGCAGCUCAAAAUGGGUGGUAAAUUCCAUCUAAAGCUAAAUAUUGGCGAGAGACCGAUAGCGAACAAGUACCGUGAGGGAAAGAUGAAAAGAA
rnacentral:rRNA from 1 species